rnacentral:rRNA from 1 species
AUUGAACGCUGGCGGCAGGCUUAACACAUGCAAGUCGAGCGGAGUGAUGGUGCUUGCACUAUCACUUAGCGGCGGACGGGUGAGUAAUGCUUAGGAAUCUGCCUAUUAGUGGGGGACAACAUUUCGAAAGGAAUGCUAAUACCGCAUACGUCCUACGGGAGAAAGCAGGGGAUCUUCGGACCUUGCGCUAAUAGAUGAGCCUAAGUCGGAUUAGCUAGUUGGUGGGGUAAAGGCCUACCAAGGCGACGAUCUGUAGCGGGUCUGAGAGGAUGAUCCGCCACACUGGGACUGAGACACGGCCCAGACUCCUACGGGAGGCAGCAGUGGGGAAUAUUGGACAAUGGGCGAAAGCCUGAUCCAGCCAUGCCGCGUGUGUGAAGAAGGCCUUUUGGUUGUAAAGCACUUUAAGCGAGGAGGAGGCUACCGAGAUUAAUACUCUUGGAUAGUGGACGUUACUCGCAGAAUAAGCACCGGCUAAC